GAUGAACGCUGGCGGCGUGCCUAAUACAUGCAAGUCGAGCGAACGGACGAGAAGCUUGCUUCUCUGAUGUUAGCGGCGGACGGGUGAGUAACACGUGGAUAACCUACCUAUAAGACUGGGAUAACUUCGGGAAACCGGAGCUAAUACCGGAUGAUAUUUUGAACCGCAUGGUUCAAAAGUGAAAGACGGUCUUGCUGUCACUUAUAGAUGGAUCCGCGCUGCAUUAGCUAGUUGGUAAGGUAACGGCUUACCAAGGCAACGAUGCAUAGCCGACCUGAGAGGGUGAUCGGCCACACUGGAACUGAGACACGGUCCUGACUCCUACGGGGUGCAGCAGUAGGGAAUCUUCCGCAAAGGGCGAAAGCCUGACGGAGCAACGCCGCGUGAGUGAUGAAGGUCUUCGGAUCGUAAAACUCUGUUAUUAGGGAAGAACAUAUGUGUAAGUAACUGUGCACAUCUUGACGGUACCUAAUCAGAAAGCCACGGCUAACUACGUG
rnacentral:rRNA from 1 species